rnacentral:rRNA from 1 species
AUUGAACGCUGGCGGCAGGCCUAACACAUGCAAGUCGGGCGGUAGCACAGGAGAGCUUGCUCUCUGGGUGACGAGCGGCGGACGGGUGAGUAAUGUCUGGGAAACUGCCUGAUGGAGGGGGAUAACUACUGGAAACGGUAGCUAAUACCGCAUAACGUCGCAAGAACAAAGAAGGGGACCGUCGGUCCUCUUGCCAUCGGACGUGCCCAAAUGGGAUUAGCUAGUAGGUGAGGUAAAGGCUCACCUAGGUGACGAUCCCUAGCUGGUCUGAGAGGAUGACCAGCCACAAUGGAACUGAGACACGGUCCAGACUCCUACGGGAGGCAGCAGUGGGGAAUAUUGCACAAUGGGCGCAAGCCUGAUGCAGCCAUGCCGCGUGUAUGAAGAAGGCCUUCGGGUUGUAAAGUACUUUCAACGGGGAGGAAGGUGUUGUGGUUAAUAACCGCAGCAAUUGACGUUACCCGCAGAAGAAGCACCGGCUAACUCCGUGCCAGCCGCCGCCGUAA